rnacentral:rRNA from 1 species
AGGGAAAGUUGAAAAGAACUCUGAAUAGAGAGUUAAACAGUACGUGAAACUGCUUAGAGGUUAAGCCCGAUGAACCUGAAUAUCCGUUAUGGAAAAUUCAUCAUUAAAAUUGUAAUAUUUAAAUAAUAUUAUGAGAAUAGUGUGCAUUUUUUCCAUAUAAGGACAUUGUAAUCUAUUAGCAUAUACCAAAUUUAUCAUAAAAUAUAACUUAUAGUUUAUUCCAAUUAAAUUGCUUGCAUUUUAACACAGAAUAAAUGUUAUUAAUUUGAUAAAGUGCUGAUAGAUUUAUAUGAUUACAGUGCGUUAAUUUUUCGGAAUUAUAUAAUGGCAUAAUUAUCAUUGAUUUUUGUGUUUAUUAUAUGCACUUGUAUGAUUAACAAUGCGAAAGAUUCAGGAUACCUUCGGGACCCGUCUUGAAACACGGACCAAGGAGUCUAACAUAUGUGCAAGUUAUUGGGAUAUAAACCUAAUAGCGUAAUUAACUUGACUAAUAAUGGGAUUAGUUUUUUAGCUAUUUAUAGCUAAUUAACACAAUCCCGGGGCGUUCUAUAUAGUUAUGUAUAAUGUAUAUUUAUAUUAUUUAUGCCUCUAACUGGAACGUACCUUGAGCAUAUAUGCUGUGACCCGAAAGAUGGUGAACUAUACUUGAUCAGGUUGAAGUCAGGGGAAACCCUGAUGGAAGACCGAAACAGUUCUGACGUGCAAAUCGAUUGUCAGAAUUGAGUAUAGGGGCGAAAGACCAAUCGAACCAUCUAGUAGCUGGUUCCUUCCGAAGUUUCCCUCAGGAUAGCUGGUGCAUUUUAAUAUUAUAUAAAAUAAUCUUAUCUGGUAAAGCGAAUGAUUAGAGGCCUUAGGGUCGAAACGAUCUUAACCUAUUCUCAAACUUUAAAUGGGUAAGAACCUUAACUUUCUUGAUAUGAAGUUCAAGGUUAUGAUAUAAUGUGCCCAGUGGGCCACUUUUGGUAAGCAGAACUGGCGCUGUGGGAUGAACCAAACGUAAUGUUACGGUGCCCAAAUUAACAACUCAUGCAGAUACCAUGAAAGGCGUUGGUUGCUUAAAACAGCAGGACGGUGAUCAUGGAAGUCGAAAUCCGCUAAGGAGUGUGUAACAACUCACCUGCCGAAGCAACUAGCCCUUAAAAUGGAUGGCGCUUAAGUUGUAUACCUAUACAUUACCGCUAAAGUAGAUGAUUUAUAUUACUUGUGAUAUAAAUUUUGAAACUUUAGUGAGUAGGAAGGUACAAUGGUAUGCGUAGAAGUGUUUGGCGUAAGCCUGCAUGGAGCUGCCAUUGGUACAGAUCUUGGUGGUAGUAGCAAAUAAUCGAAUGAGACCUUGGAGGACUGAAGUGGAGAAGGGUUUCGUGUGAACAGUGGUUGAUCACGAGUUAGUCGGUCCUAAGUUCAAGGCGAAAGCCGAAAAUUUUCAAGUAAAACAAAAAUGCCUAACUAUAUAAACAAAGCGAAUUAUAAUACACUUGAAUAAUUUUGAACGAAAGGGAAUACGGUUCCAAUUCCGUAACCUGUUGAGUAUCCGUUUGUUAUUAAAUAUGGGCCUCGUGCUCAUCCUGGCAACAGGAACGACCAUAAAGAAGCCGUCGAGAGAUAUCGGAAGAGUUUUCUUUUCUGUUUUAUAGCCGUACUACCAUGGAAGUCUUUCGCAGAGAGAUAUGGUAGAUGGGCUAGAAGAGCAUGACAUAUACUGUUGUGUCGAUAUUUUCUCCUCGGACCUUGAAAAUUUAUGGUGGGGACACGCAAACUUCUCAACAGGCCGUACCAAUAUCCGCAGCUGGUCUCCAAGGUGAAGAGUCUCUAGUCGAUAGAAUAAUGUAGGUAAGGGAAGUCGGCAAAUUAGAUCCGUAACUUCGGGAUAAGGAUUGGCUCUGAAGAUUGAGAUAGUCGGGCUUGAUUGGGAAACAAUAACAUGGUUUAUGUGCUCGUUCUGGGUAAAUAGAGUUUCUAGCAUUUAUGUUAGUUACUUGUUCCCCGGAUAGUUUAGUUACGUAGCCAAUUGUGGAACUUUCUUGCUAAAAUUUUUAAGAAUACUAUUUGGGUUAAACCAAUUAGUUCUUAUUAAUUAUAACGAUUAUCAAUUAACAAUCAAUUCAGAACUGGCACGGACUUGGGGAAUCCGACUGUCUAAUUAAAACAAAGCAUUGUGAUGGCCCUAGCGGGUGUUGACACAAUGUGAUUUCUGCCCAGUGCUCUGAAUGUCAAAGUGAAGAAAUUCAAGUAAGCGCGGGUCAACGGCGGGAGUAACUAUGACUCUCUGGGGAUCAUGGGGUAUUUGAGAGCAGAGGGGGAGUAUUCUUCUGUAAUUCGUAAGUCAUAUCAUAUGUGUGCGGAAGGGGAAUUUUACUCUGUAACUCACAAGUCUCUCCUUUACUCAAGUCGACUCAAAACCUCCUCGUGGUGGUCCCCGGUAAUGCUAAACUCGUUUAGCAGCUAAUUUGAGCGGCAAAACUUUUCCGAUGGGCUGGUUCCCCAGAGGAAAUUUAUUCAUAUUGGAACUACAAGCACAAAUAACGAGCCUCGGAUACCUUUACACAAUCUGAUGACGACCCGACCCUCCGUGGAUAUCUUCCCGGAGGACCAAUAUGAACCAAACGCAGCGGCUACUCUAUCUAGGGUUCCCUGCACAGUAUGUGGCCGGUCCUUUAACAGCAAGAGAGGACUCGGUGUUCACAUGCGAUCUCGGCACCCAGACGAACUUGAUGAAGAACGUCGACGUGUCGAUAUAAAGGCAAGAUGGAGUGAUGAAGAGAAGUGGAUGAUGGCGAGAAAGGAGGUUGAGCUCACAGCAAAUGGAUGUAAACACAUAAACAAGCAACUAGCGGUGUAUUUUGCAAACCGCAGCGUCGAAGCCAUCAAA